AUAUUAUAAAAUGUUACAAUAAAGUGUAGUAUUUGUUUUUAUUAGUUUAAUAUCUGAUAUGUGGGUCAUCGUUCCCACUUCAUAUUAAUUUUAUUUUUUUAUGAAAGAAUCAAUUAUCUUAGCUUAGUGAUGUGGUUUUGCAUGUAUCUGCUUGAACUUCCACUAUUGUUGCUAGAACUUACGCACUCCUC